GAUGAACGCUGGCGGCGUGCCUAAUACAUGCAAGUCGAGCGAACAGAUAAGGAGCUUGCUCCUUUGACGUUAGCGGCGGACGGGUGAGUAACACGUGGAUAACCUACCUAUAAGACUGGGAUAACUUCGGGAAACCGGAGCUAAUACCGGAUAACAUAUUGAACCGCAUGGUUCAAUAGUGAAAGGCGGCUUUGCUGUCACUUAUAGGUGGAUCCGCGCCGUAUUAGCUAGUUGGUAAGGUAACGGCUUACCAAGGCAACGAUACGUAGCCGACCUGAGAGGGUGAUCGGCCACACUGGAACUGAGACACGGUCCAGACUCCUACGGGAGGCAGCAGUAGGGAAUCUUCCGCAAUGGGCGAAAGCCUGACGGAGCAACGCCGCGUGAGUGAUGAAGGUCUUCGGAUCGUAAAACUCUGUUAUCAGGGAAGAACAAAUGUGUAAGUAACUGUGCACAUCUUGACGGUACCUGAUCAGAAAGCCACGGCUAACUACGUG
rnacentral:rRNA from 1 species